AUCCAGAUGACGGUUCCUAAAUAGGACGAAAUGCGCAUCCUGGAU
rnacentral:hammerhead_ribozyme from 1 species